GAUCAUGGCUCAGGAUGAACGCUAGCUACAGGCUUAACACAUGCAAGUAGAGGGGCAGCAUGAAUAAAGUUUCGGCUUUAUUUGAUGGCGACCUGCGAAUGGGUGAGUAACACGUAUCCAACCUGCCUGUUACUGGAGGAUAGCCUCCCGAAAGGGAAAUUAACACUCCAUAUUAUAUAGAUGAGGCAUCUUGUUUAUAUGAAAGUUUCACGGUAACGGAUGGGGAUGCGUCCCAUUAGAUAGUAGGCGGGGUAACGGCCCACCUAGUCGACGAUGGGUAGGGGUUCUGAGAGGAAGGUCCCCCACAUUGGAACUGAGACACGGUCCAAACUCCUACGGGAGGCAGCAGUGAGGAAUAUUGGUCAAUGGGCGAGAGCCUGAACCAGCCAAGUAGCGUGCAGGAUGACGGCCCUAUGGGUUGUAAACUGCUUUUAUAAGGGAAUAAAGUGAGCCUCGUGAGGCUUUUUGCAUGUACCUUAUGAAUAAGGACCGGCUAAUUCCGUG
rnacentral:rRNA from 1 species